rnacentral:sRNA from 1 species
GCCAGGUGUGGUAGCACAUGCCUGUAAUCCCAGUGGCUUGGGAGGCUGAGGCAGGAGGAUCACAAGUUCAAAGGCAGCCUCAGCAAAAGCAAGGUGCUGAGCAACUCAGUGAGACCCUUUCUCUA